rnacentral:tRNA from 1 species
GCAAAAAAGGUUUUCCGCCCUGGAUUUGAAAUCCGGGGGUAUUGUUUUAUUACAAGUUUUGCU